rnacentral:rRNA from 1 species
CACCUGGUGGCGAGUGGCGAACGGGUGAGUAAUACAUCGGAACAUGUCCUGUAGUGGGGGAUAGCCCGGCGAAAGCCGGAUUAAUACCGCAUACGAUCUACGGAUGAAAGCGGGGGACCUUCGGGCCUCGCGCUAUAGGGUUGGCCGAUGGCUGAUUAGCUAGUUGGUGGGGUAAAGGCCUACCAAGGCGACGAUCAGUAGCUGGUCUGAGAGGACGACCAGCCACACUGGGACUGAGACACGGCCCAGACUCCUACGGGAGGCAGCAGUGGGGAAUUUUGGACAAUGGGCGAAAGCCUGAUCCAGCAAUGCCGCGUGUGUGAAGAAGGCCUUCGGGUUGUAAAGCACUUUUGUCCGGAAAGAAAUCCUUGGUUCUAAUAUAGCCGGGGGAUGACGGUACCGGAAGAAUAAGCACCGGCUAACUACGUGCCAGCAGCCGCGGUAAUACGUAGGGUGCGAGCGUUAAUCGGAAUUACUGGGCGUAAAGCGUGCGCAGGCGGUUUGCUAAGACCGAUGUGAAAUCCCCGGGCUCAACCUGGGAACUGCAUUGGCGACUGGCAGGCUAGAGUAUGGCAGAGGGGGGUAGAAUUCCACGUGUAGCAGUGAAAUGCGUAGAGAUGUGGAGGAAUACCGAUGG